UGCCGAAGCAGAGGGCAUGAACUUAACCACUAGGCCAUGGGGCUGGCCCCCAGCAUUUUCAUUCCUCACCCUUUUCUUGUCCUUAUAUUCUUUUAGGCUAAUCUUUGAAAUGUCAGUCUUGGUCCACAGAAACAAAAAUUUGAAAAAAGGAAAAAAGGGAAUGCUAUAAUUUCUUUCAAGUUGUAAAAGUAAUACACACAUAAAAAUUACUAACUUUUUUACCAAUAAAAAAUCAUCUUUUGGCCUUCAAUCUAACAAACUAAUCAGAAAAGAAAAUUGCAUCAGUCAUUCUGAAAAUGCCUUUUUUGCAUAAAAUGUUACCCUCUUAGAAUAAUAAUGCAGCAGUUCUCAAACUUGAGCACAUUUCAGAAUUACCUGGAAGGCUUGUAGAAGCACAAAUUACUGGACCUCACCUCUGGAGUUUUUGAUUUAAUAGGUCUGGGGUGGGGCCCAAGAACUGGCAUUUCUGACAAGUCCCCAAGUUGAAGUUGAUGCUGCUAGUCAGUGGACCAAAUUUGAGAACUGUUGGUGAAAUAUUAGAGCUCAAAAAAGACUUAAGGAUCAUUUCUGCCUUAUUUAAAGCUCUAUUGGUUGCAACUGACAAACUCCCACCUGAGAAUAGACUUUAUUGGAAGCAGCUGGGGUAUCUGCCAGACUCCAAGAUAAAGUUGGACAGUCAGGCCAGCCAACAAGCAGAUUGAGGAGUGCAGCAACAACAGGGAGGGAGCCUCCUCUGUGUCUCUCCCUGUCUCUCUUUCUCUCCACUCCUCCUCUGUGUCUCUCCCUGUCUCUCUUUCUCUCCACUCCCAAAUCGAAGCUUGGGGUUGCUUUGUUCAGAUAAUCAAGGAAGAGAUCUGAUUGGCAACUGGCCAGCUAAUGAAUGGACUCUUCCCAUGGGGUCGAAGUUCUCCCCUGCUCAGGCCACAGGUGCAGAGUCUCUUAACCCAAAUAUGGUACCAGGAGGGAGAAGGGAGCAGUUCUCAGAGAAGAGUGGUGUAGACUUGGCAAAGACUUUAAUCAGUGUCUACUGUAUCAUAUGAACAAUUUUUCAAAAGAGAGAACUGUGGUUUGGGGAAAGUAAAACACCUGCCAAGGAGCAUGUGUCAAAGAAGUGGCAAAGCUGAAGCCCAUCUUUUUGUUGGAGGGGUGGGCAUGUGGACCCAAAGCUGGCCCCGAAGUGGCAAGUAGAGAUUUGUUUCUCAGUCAGUAGUAGGCUGGAGCUGCUGGUACCAGCUCCAGAGAGCUGAAUGUUAAAUAUUCAGGAAUUUUACCAUCAGAUCAACCAUUGGGAGCUGGAAAUUUGCCAUAGUUGGAGUAUUCACACCAUGAAAAUUGGCUAAUGUUACAAACCAGCACUUUUUUUUUUCUUUCCAAAGGGCCAGUUUACUAGCACGCCAUUGCCUAGAGCCAUGUGGGGAGAAUUUACGAUUAAUGUAGAUGACACAUUUCAGAUGAGUGAAAAUGUUUGCACUUUUUUCCAGUAUUUGCCAUUCCUAACCCUACCAUUAGCUGAUUGUACAGGGGCUGCCAGCUAGAACCCACUUUGCAUGUCCAAUCCCUUAUCCUCUCUCCCAUAGUGGCUGGCAUUCUUUCUCUCUGAUACUCAUGUGCAAAAUAAACUCACUGUCUCAUUGACUUUGUGCCACUCUUGUUCCCAGAUUCAAAGCUGGCUCCUUCCUAACUGUUGAACGGUAGAACUUCAAUUACAAAAAUAAGACAAGCCUGAGCAAGCAUAUAAGACAGAGAGAAGUGUCUUUAAGAGAUUUACUUUAAAAAAAAACAAAACUAGUAAGGCAGCCAAUAAGCAAAUGCCCCCAGGGAUAUUGACUUACUGUGUAGUUAUUUAAAGAAGGAAAUUCGUGUGCAAAUUGCCCAAGACGUCUUUCUCCAGCUCCUGUUGUGUGGCUUGGCUGUCCACUACCUCAUUCCCAUCAGCAGACAAAGGCUGGGAGAGAAAGAAACCUCCGUGACUAGUUUGGGACCUGGGAUUUGGGAGAAGAGCAAAGAUGUGAGUGAAACAAUAGUUUCAGCGACCAGCCAGAACCCAAGGAGAAACGGAGAAGAAAGGAGUCAUUGUGAAAUGGAAUCGCUCAAGAGGACCAUGAUAUUUGAGAGCUUCAUGUUUUUCUCUGGUGCUUUGUAAUUCUCUUUGCUAUCUUCAUCUUUAGGAAACUGAUUAACCACUGUAAUUUAGGUUGUGUUAGCAAUGCCUUAGGAAAUGAAGGAGGAACAAUCUUCUUGGAGCAAAGCCAGGAGAGAGAAGCAGAAGCCUUCAGAAGCUGUUACAAGGUGAAACAGCUUGCCGACAACUUCGAAAGUUGCUACUACCAGGCAGGAAGAAUUGCAAGUCAUUAUCAGGACAUCUUUAAAAAUUCCCAGAGGAAAUGUAAUGAAUAUAAUAGAUAUGCCAGAAGCAAGAGACAGUCAGACAUGAAAUCAAUGUAGAGAAAAAUAAAAACAUGCUAAUUUAUAAUAUAAAACAGCUCCGGGUGCUAAACCAGGCUGACUGUCCAAGAUGCUUUGCAGUGGAGAAACUGGAGCUGAACACCUGCCUCCUCCCAUACUUGUGCCUUGUUGGACAAAGAUGGCCACAGCCUCAGUCCCUCUUGGACAGCCACCAACAUGUCUUGAUCACCUGGGAUUUCUCUGGUACAGCUCUCAAGAGCCUGUAGUCCUUGCAUAUCUCAAACUGACCUGUUUAGGCAUCCUGAAAUUCACCACAAGAGUUUAUCCCUCAUAGCACGACAUGCCAUUAUAAAGAUUCAUUAAUUCAUGACUGUGCUUGAAGAACACUACCAUAAAAUAUGCCAGUCACAUGACAAAGCAUAUCUUACAGAAGUGCAAGUGAUGAUUAGAAUGGAGCAGGAGGAAAACUGUUACAGCCAACUUGCUUUGGACACCCUCUAAGUGAAAUAAUGUUCACCCAGCAGUCUCUUAGGAACUGAUACUAUGCUUAACAUAUUUUGUGGUUUUAUAAAUAUCAUCUGCGUACUUAUUAAAUGUAAUUCAUGCCAAUUUUAAAAAAAAUUAAACAAUACAGAAGUGGAUAAAGUAGGAUGAGAAAGUUCUCUUCCCUGAUUCAAUUCCAUCCCUAAACUAUUCUGGAUUUGAAAAUACAGAUAUUGAUAUUGAUACAUACAAGUAGAUAUACUUUUUACAUGAGAUCAUAUGUGCAUCCAAUUUUGUAACUUGCCUUUUUCACUCAUCAGUAUAUUGUGGACACUUUCAAUGUCAUAUGUGUAGAUUUUCCUUUUUCCAUUUAAUAGUUGCACAGGAUUCUAUUGUAUGAAUAGUUUAUUUAACCAUAGUUUAUUUUAACAGUAGUAUCUGAAACAUAGAAAGCUCUCAACAAAUGUUUGCUAUUAUUACUUAUAUUCAUACAAAUUUUUCCAUAUCUCCUUAUUUAUACUUUCUCAUUCCUAAAAUUAUUUAUUUGUAUUUUCUCUUCUUAUUUUAAUGUAAAAAUUUCCAGAAAUACGUAUAUUUUAAAGAAUAAACUCUGGCUUUUAUUUAUCAAGCCAACAUUUUAAUUUUUGUCUUUAUUACUAUGUUCUAUUUUCUUUGGUUUAAUUUUGAUGUUCUUAGUGCCUCCCUAGUGCAGUAGGCAGGACUUCAGUCUGUAAUUUUGAUGCUCUUCUUGUACCUUCUUAAGUAUAUAGUUAUGUUUAUUUUUUCUCCUGUUUUCUAAAAAGGCAUUCUAAAACCGUCUAAGGAAAGUAUUUGAAUGUGGCUUUGGCUGCAUCCCUGUGUUUUAAUACAUAGUAGCCUCACUAUCAGUUUAUUUAAAUCAAUCUUAAUUUCAGUUUUGAGUUUCUUUUAAUUCAAGAAUUAUUUAGAAUAGCGUUUUUAUAUUUCCAAAUAUAAAUAUUUUUUAUUGUUAUUGCUAAGUUCGAGUUUUAUUGCAUUGUGUUUGGGGAAUGUGGACCAUAUGAUUUCUAUUUUUAAGAAACCUCUGAGAUUUUCUUUGUCAUAGAAGGGGCAUUUCUUCUACCACAUGUGUUUUCAUUGUGCUGAUGAGAUAUAAUGCAACCCAUUAAUCAGAGAACAUGAUGCAGUACACGCUGCUGUUAUUUAUAAUGAGUUUGCCAUCUGGAAGAGGCUCUGUGCAUACAGGAAAUGAACCAUUGCUUGCUCCAUGCUGGAAUGCACACCUCCUUUGCUAGGUGAGUUGCUCAGCUAGAAUCAUAAUCCAAUGUUUACUGUUAAUGUUCGCAAACUGUGAUACCAGCAAACUGCAAGGUCAAUAACAAAGAUGAUAGCUGUGACUGAGAAAUUCCCACUGUGUAAACUGAAGGGCAAAUGAGAACAUGCCAUGCUUUUUGGGCCAAUUUUGAUCAACCAAAUUAUUACUUUUUGCUAGCAGUGAUAUCCUCAGCUGAUCACCCUGCCUUAUAUCCUAGAGCUGUAUGCCAAUAUAGUAGCCACUAGACAUAUAUGGCUAUUUAAAUUUAAAUUAAUUAAAAUUAAAUAAAAUUCAAAAUUCAGUUCCUCAAUUGCACUAGGCACCGUGUUCAACAGCCAUAUGUGCCUAGUGGUUGUUGUAUUAGACAAUGCAGCUAUAAAAUAUUUCCAUUGUGACAAAAUUUUCUAUUAGAUAGCACAGCUCUAGAGGUAAAAAUAGAUAGUAUGAUGGCCUUUUCAUGUGUCCACUUGGCUAGGCUACAGUCCUCAGCUGUUCAAUCAAAUACUAACCUAGGGGUUGCUAUGAAGGUAUUUAGUAGAUGUGAUUAAAAUCCAUAAUCAGUUGACUUUUGCUAAGGGAGAUUAUCCUAGAUAUUUUGGGUGGGCUGAUACAAUCAGUAGGAAAGCCUUAAGAAUAGAACUGAGGUUUGCUUGAUUAAGAAGAAAUUCUUCCUGUGGAUGUUUCAGCCCAUGCCCGAGAGUUCCUACUAGCCCUUCCCCAUGGCCUGCCCUACAGAUUUUGGAGUUGUUCUACAUAUAUAAAUACAUAUAAAAUCUCCUAUUGAAUCUGCUUCUCUGGUUGAACCCUGACUAACACAGAUGGGAACUCUCUCAUCUGCACAAUCUAAAACUACAUACAGACCUGCCCCCAAAUCAUCUUCACCUGUUCUCCUGUCUCAAAACACAGGAAAUAUCCUUCGUCCUUUAUCAGCCUGUCUUUGCACAGUACUCUGAGUCCCACCUCCUCUCACCU